CCUACGGGAGGCAGCAGUGAGGAAUAUUGGACAAUGGGCGCAAGCCUGAUCCAGCCAUGCCGCGUGCAGGAUGACGGUCCUAUGGAUUGUAAACUGCUUUUGUACAGGAAGAAACACUCCGACGUGUCGGAGCUUGACGGUACUGUAAGAAUAAGGAUCGGCUAACUCCGUGCCAGCAGCCGCGGUAAU
rnacentral:rRNA from 1 species